GUUGCAGCGGCACAUAUACUAAAGUUGGAGCAACACAGAGAAGACUAGCUAGCAUGGCCCUGAGCAAGGAUGACACGCAAAUUCAUGAAGUGUUCCAUAUUAAA